rnacentral:rRNA from 1 species
AUUGAACGCUGGCGGCAGGCCUAACACAUGCAAGUCGAGCGGAUGAAGGGAGCUUGCUCCUGGAUUCAGCGGCGGACGGGUGAGUAAUGCCUAGGAAUCUGCCUGGUAGUGGGGGAUAACGUCCGGAAACGGGCGCUAAUACCGCAUACGUCCUGAGGGAGAAGUUGGGGGUUCUUCGAACCUCACGCUUUCAGAUGAGCCUAGGUCGGAUUAGCUAGUUGGUGGGGUAAAGGCCUACCAAGGCGACGAUCCGUAACUGGUCUGAGAGGAUGAUCAGUCACACUGGAACUGAGACACGGUCCAGACUCCUACGGGAGGCAGCAGUGGGGAAUAUUGGACAAUGGGCGAAAGCCUGAUCCAGCCAUGCCGCGUGUGUGAAGAAGGUCUUCGGAUUGUAAAGCACUUUAAGUUGGGAGGAAGGGCAGUAAGUUAAUACCUUGCUGUUUUGACGUUACCAACAGAAUAAGCACCGGCUAACUUCGUG